CCUACGGGUGGCAGCAGUGGGGAAUUUUGGACAAUGGGCGCAAGCCUGAUCCAGCUAUUCCGCGUGUGGGAUGACGGCCUUCGGGUUGUAAACCACUUUUGUAGAGAACGAAAAGUCUGUUGAUAAUACCGAUAGAUGAUGACGGUACUCUAAGAAAAAGCAUCGGCUAACUCCGUGCCAGCAGCCGCGGUAAUACGGAGGAUGCGAGCGUUAUCCGGAUUUAUUGGGUUUAAAGGGUGCGUAGGCGGACGCUUAAGUCAGCGGUAAAAUUGCGGGGCUCAACCUCGUCGAGCCGUUGAAACUGGGUGCCUUGAGUGGGCGAGAAGUACGCGGAAUGCGUGGUGUAGCGGUGAAAUGCAUAGAUAUCACGCAGAACUCCGAUUGCGAAGGCAGCGUACCGGCGCCCAACUGACGCUGAAGCACGAAGGCGUGGGUAUCGAACAGGAUUAGAUACCCGGGUAGUC
rnacentral:rRNA from 1 species